UACAAUGGCGCAUACAAAGAGAAGCGACCUCGCGAGAGCAAGCGGACCUCAUAAAGUGCGUCGUAGUCCGGAUUGGAGUCUGCAACUCGACUCCAUGAAGUCGGAAUCGCUAGUAAUCGUGGAUCAGAAUGCCACGGUGAAUACGUUCCCGGGCCUUGUACACACCGCCCGUCACACCAUGGGAGUGGGUUGCAAAAGAAGUAGGUAGCUUAACCUUCGGGAGGGCGCUUACCACUUUGUGAUUCAUGACUGGGGUGAAGUCGUAACAAGGUAACCGUAGGGGAACCUGC
rnacentral:rRNA from 1 species